GCGCCGUGGUGAAGAGUGCUGAUACUUCGAUUGCUAAUCGAGAGGUCGUGGGUUCGAGUCCCACCCGGCGUUCCA
rnacentral:tRNA from 1 species